GAAAAGAAUCAUAACAUCAUUCUUGGGACUUGUUGAACUCGAUAGAAGCACUGCUGAGGCUGUUACAGCAUCUUUGCUUGAGUUCCUGAAAAAAAGUAAAUCUGAACAUAAAAAAGUGUAUUGGUUUGGCAAGUGAUGGCUGUAACACAAUGUCCGGAGCACACAACUCCGUCACCUCACGAUUACGUGAAAUAAAUCCGGAGGUUACACACAUCAAGUGCAUUUGCCACUCGUUACAAUUAUGCAUGUCGUAUGCCAUGAAAAAACUACCUUCCCACCUUGAGUUCAUGGUAUCGCAGACAUAUAAGUAUUUUUCGAAUAGCUCUCUCCGACAGCAGAAAUAUAUGCAGAGGUGGGCUCUUGUUGGAGUAAAAGUGCGCGGGAAUACUGCCGCAGACCUGGCAACCCUGCCUGCGACCGACUCGCCUGAGUUGACACUAAGCCACGGUCAAGGUGAGACGUACGCCUCCGUGUUCUGGCGUCCCUCCGGAUAUUCUCGGUGCCACCGCGACUCUGGCACCCCUCUGUUGGGUGUGCGUGGUGCCCCUGGCCUGACACUCCACGCGGCUGCUGUACCUAUACCGUGCUCCGGGAGGACAGCAGCGAUGCCGCCCUCUCUGUGUUAUGCUGUGUUUGGCCCACGCUGUGUUUUUCACGUGUUUCUGAAGUAAUGUGAUCGCUGAAGGAGAGAAAUGCUGGCGUGAGGAGGCGAGACGUGCUUCCAGGCAGUGAGUGGAGGAGGAGGAGGAUGUCGUCGCUGGUGGAGGCACUGCAGGUGUCUCCCGCCCGCAGCCGGCGUAGGAAGCCCUCCACGGCGCAGAGCCUCUACAGGGGCGUCGUCAGGAGCAAGGUGAGAGGCGGCCGUCCGGACUUGUCACUCUUCCUCACCGUGUCUGUUUUCCUUCGCCUCCUCUCCCAUUGUCUCUUCAUCCUGCAGUCUUCCUCCUCUGACCUCCCUCUUCUUCAGCUUGCGAUCUUUCUCCUCUAA